rnacentral:lncRNA from 1 species
GUGUGUGAUACCAACUUCCAGUAUCAAAUUUAUUCAAAGUACCACCAACGGGGACCCCUGAAUACCACUAUGGCCAUUCAUAAACAAACUGUUGAAAAAGAAGCACAAGACAAAGACCUAUGAUACUGGACAAGAAAACAAAAGUUCUGGGAGUUGGAUUUGAGAUGAUUAUUUUUUGUAUAGGUUUUCUACUUAAACUCAAUUUAGAUCAUGUUUACUCAUCACGUGGGAAGAGAACAUCAGGCUCCUUCAGCUUCACAGCACUCAACUUAUAAGAUCAAACAUACACAGAGUUUACUGCUAGGGCCUGGGAAAAUUCCAACAGAAACCCUGGAGAGAGAGAGAUCCCCUGCGGUGGUACCAUCUCUUCUGGCUGGGAGAUUGAUGUGGAAACUGGGGAAAGAAUAUUCAGGCUGAAAUGAAUAGAAAGAGCUCUAUAAAUGAGUAACAGGAUAAUUAAAGCAUGAAGCUUUCUACAUCUCGAGAUAAUGGUAAUGGAGUUCAAGCUACUGAUAGCAUCUUUUAGAGUUUGCCAGUUUGUGAGGAAUGGAGCCAAGUUAAGAAUAGACCAUCAAUCAACCCUAUAAAGAAGUUUGUGUGUCCAUUAAGUGUUCUGCAAUUACCAGAAGUACCCACCUAUUUUCAGAAAAAGGCUGAGAAAGAAAGGAGGAAAAAGCCUCUCCAAAUACAAUUUUUGCCACACGUAAGUAACUUUCUCUAGAAAGCUUUCUAAAAUAUUCCAGAAAGAGUCCUCAUACCUGUUGCUUCAUUUUAAUCAUCUCAGAGGAUCUCGAAAUACUGAGGAUUUCUAUUGGGACAUGUGUCUUUACCUUUCUAAGAGCUGAAUUGUUUAGUCCUUCCACAAAAGUAUUGACAGACAGGGGCAGAUUCCUGCUCCUGUUUUAGAGGGUGGACGUGAGAAGCGUCAGAAGCCGAGCUGGGCAAAGGACCUGUCGUCCCACGGAAGGAGGGAUGUGGUUUGAAGAAUCCCAGAGCAAACAUCUAAGCAAAACGCCUGAAAGUCUUUUCUCAUCCUGCAAAUUUUAAAACUCUGUCUCCAACAUCAGUGACCAAGUGCGUUUGGAAUUCCAACAAAUUCAGGAGCAUCGUAAUUUAUGCUCAUGUCUUCUAAUCUGAGAGCUUUGCAAGCCCUCUCUUCCCGCUUCUCAAUGCACAUUUGGAUUUGCUUCCUUCCAUCCUUCCAGGUGGAAACGAACUUGAAGUCUUUAAAAAGAAAUUGUGUUUAUCAAGGUCAUUGCCUGAAGGAUAGUUGGCAAAAGGGCACUUUGCCUUUUAGAUAAGGCCUCUCUGGGAGAUUAAAAAAGACUGGAGUCACUUCCAUUCUUUGAAGCUCCA